rnacentral:rRNA from 1 species
GAAUCAGAAUGUCGCGGUGAAUACGUUCCCGGGCCUUGUACACACCGCCCGUCACACCAUGGGAGUGGGUUGCACCAGAAGUAGAUAGCUUAACCUUCGGGAGGGCGUUUACCACGGUGUGAUUCAUGACUGGGGUGAAGUCGUAACAAGGUAACCCUAGGGGAACCUGGGGUUGGAUCACCUCCUUACCUUAA